rnacentral:rRNA from 1 species
AGUGAACGCUGGCGGUAGGCCUAACACAUGCAAGUCGAACGGCAGCACAGUAAGAGCUUGCUCUUACGGGUGGCGAGUGGCGGACGGGCGAGGAAUACAUCGGAAUCUACUUUUUCGUGGGGGAUAACGUAGGGAAACUUACGCUAAUACCGCAUACGACCUACGGGUGAAAGCAGGGGAUCUUCGGACCUUGCGCGAUUGAAUGAGCCGAUGUCGGAUUAGCUAGUUGGCGGGGUAAAGGCCCACCAAGGCGACGAUCCGUAGCUGGUCUGAGAGGAUGAUCAGCCACACUGGAACUGAGACACGGUCCAGACUCCUACGGGAGGCAGCAGUGGGGAAUAUUGGACAAUGGGCGCAAGCCUGAUCCAGCCAUACCGCGUGGGUGAAGAAGGCCUUCGGGUUGUAAAGCCCUUUUGUUGGGAAAGAAAAGCAGCAGGUUAAUACCCCGCUGUUCUGACGGUACCCAAAGAAUAGGCACCGGCUAACUUCGUG